AGAGUUUGAUCAUGGCUCAGAACGUACGCUGGCGGCACGCCUAACACAUGCAAGUCGAACGAAGUAGCAAUACUUAGUGGCAGACGGGUGAGUAACAUGUGGGUAUCUGCCCUUUGGCCUGGAAUAACACGAGGAAACUUGUGCUAAUACCGGAUAAGUCUUUACGGAGAAAGCUUUAUGCACCAUUGGAUGAGCCCGCACUUGAUUAGUUUGUUGGUGGGGUAAUGGCCUACCAAGACUGUGAUCAAUAGCUGAUUUGAGAGGAUGAUCAGCCACAUUGGGACUGAGACACGGCCCAAACUCCUACGGGAGGCAGCAGUGGGGAAUCUUGCACAAUGGAGGAAACUCUGAUGCAGCGAUGCCGCGUGAGUGAAGAAGGCCCUUGGGUUGUAAAGCUCUUUCGUCGGGGAAGAAAAUGACUGUACCCGAAUAAGAAGGUCCGGCUAACUUCGUGCCAGCAGCCGCGGUAAUACGAAGGGACCUAGCGUAGUUCGGAAUUACUGGGCUUAAAGAGUUCGUAGGUGGUUGAAAAAGUUAGUGGUGAAAUCCCAGAGCUUAACUCUGGAACUGCCAUUAAAACUUUUCAGCUAGAGUAUGAUAGAGGAAAGCAGAAUUUCUAGUGUAGAGGUGAAAUUCGUAGAUAUUAGAAAGAAUACCAAUUGCGAAGGCAGCUUUCUGGAUCAUUACUGACACUGAGGAACGAAAGCAUGGGUAGCGAAGAGGAUUAGAUACCCUCGUAGUCCAUGCCGUAAACGAUGUGUGUUAGACGUUGGAAAUUUAUUUUCAGUGUCGCAGCGAAAGCGAUAAACACACCGCCUGGGGAGUACGACCGCAAGGUUAAAACUCAAAUGAAUUGACGGGGACCCGCACAAGUAGUGGAGCAUGUGGUUUAAUUCGAAGAUACGCGCAGAACCUUACCAACACUUGACAUGUUCGUCGCGACUCUAAGAGAUUAGAGUUUUCGGUUCGGCCGGACGAAACACAGGUGCUGCAUGGCUGUCGUCAGCUCGUGUCGUGAGAUGUUGGGUUAAGUCCCGCAACGAGCGCAACCCUCACUUUUAGUUGCCAUCAUUAAGUUGGGCACUCUGAAAGAACUGCCAGUGAUAAGCUGGAGGAAGGUGGGGAUGACGUCAAGUCCUCAUGGCCCUUACGUGUUGGGCUACACACGUGCUACAAUGGUAUCUACAACAGGAAGCAAGACUGCGAGGUCAAGCAAAUCCUUAAAAGAUACCUCAGUUCGGAUUGCACUCUGCAACUCGAGUGCAUGAAGCUGGAAUUACUAGUAAUCGUGGAUCAGCGUGCCACGGUGAAUGCGUUCCCGGGUCUUGUACACACCGCCCGUCACACCAUGGGAGUUGGUUCUACCUUAAGGCAAGGUUUCAAACCCUUGACCACGGUAUAGUCAGCGACUGGGGUGAAGUCAUAACAAGGUAACCGUA
rnacentral:rRNA from 1 species